GCAGAUGUGGUGAAAUGGUAGACACGAGGGACUUAAAAUCCCUUGAUAGAAAUAUCGUGAGGGUUCAAGUCCCUCCAUCUGCACCA
rnacentral:tRNA from 1 species